UUUUGCUUUCAAGAAGACAGUUAAAAAAAAUUGAUACCCUUUAAAUUGUUUUCUCAUAUCGCCUACAUGUUCAUGCCCACCCCUCUCCAGCGUUAGGCCAAACGACAUUAUUCCCUACCCACCAUCAAAGGGUCAAACAUUCUACCUUUCUGGGAAUGCGCAUCUAGCUUGAUGCUCGGUGUUGUUGAUUACGCUUGCGCACCCAAGCAUUGGUUAUUCCUGAACAUCCUGCUAAGAUCGCUUAUUGGUGCCGAUUGCGUUCACCCGAUCAAAUAUUUCAUAUUCAUCCACUCCCACUGAAUUUGCAAGCUAAGGUUGUUGAGUAUGUCUCAUAUUAGAACUCGAAGACCCGAAGACCGGAGCAGUAGCAAGAUCGGACGAAAAAAGAGAGGGGCGAGAUCUCAGAUUCCCCUGAGAUUAUAUUUCAUAUUUUAUAGAGAUUUCGUUAUAUUUCUUAAUUUUUAAAUAGGGAAAUUAUAUCUGGGGGAUAUUAGAGAUAUUUCUAUUAAUAUCUUCAGAAUAUUUCACGUGGGGAAUAUCCUAGGGUUAUAUUAUGAUAUCUUUGAGAUAUUAUGUAUUGUAUCUAUUUAAAGAGGAGAGGAUCUUGUAUUAAGAUAACACGUUGUGUGAGAAUCACAGAUAAUCUUCUUUGAAA